UAUCUUGUGGAUCUGUGCUGCCUCACCACAAUGGGCAGGCCUGAAAGCACUCUGUGAUAUCAGGCAGGGAGAUUGAAUCGUUGCAGAGUGAGUUCUCACUCUCUUCUCCCACCCUGGUGCACGCAUGCAUCCUAAUGGCUCCAAAAGCUUUACGGCAGAUGCUGGUAGCCCGCCGCAGAUGCCCUUCCAGCCCACGGCAGGUGGAGCCCCGUGACCCUGCUGCCAGGCAAGCGGGGUGAAGCAUCCAGUCCAAGUCUUGUGAGGUGGCUGGUGAAAAAGCAGCUCUGACCACCCAUUCCCCCUCCCAAACCUGCAAGACAGAGGAGUCUCUCUCAAAGAGUUGGGACCAGUCAACCUUAGUGAGAAAGCCUGCGUGCCCAGAGCACGAGACUGCCGCGUCCAGCGGCAGCUGGCAAGAUGGAAGAAACAGCGUCCGGGCUUACGAAAAACCCCACGCACGGCGACUGUGCCACGAAGGGGCCGAUUCGCGUUCGCAGAAACCGGGCAAAGGAGCACGACUCUUCUCCCAUCUGAAUUGCUUUGGACGCCAGCCUGUUCUACCAGCCUCACAGCAGGUUGUUUAAGGCCCAGAGAAGGGCGACGGGGAUGAUGAGCGGUAUGGAGGGGCUUCCCGAUGAGGCCAGAGCUGCUCGGUGCAGAAAGGAGAGGCCGUGGGGGGACGUGACGAGGGUUUGCACAAUACUAAAUGGCGAAGAGGAAGUCAACGGGGAUUUGUUACUGGCUCUCGCUCGCAAGAUGAGAAGGAGGGGUCGCACGCAUUGCAGUACAAUAAAGACUGGCUCAACUCAACCUGCAGUGGAAAGCUACAUGACAAAGUAAAUGGAGUGGAUGCUGCCCACUUAUCCUGGGCAGCAAAUGAGAUCAUAGAGCAAAUGACCUUAUUCCCUGAUUGACAGAGCUGUGAUUCUACCCUCAGUUAUUACUAGUCACUUUCUAAGUGAUCACACUCUCAGAGUCCCAGUAGUGAUCCUGACUGAGAAUAGUUUUGGCAAGAGCGGCCUCUUGUCCUUCCCCUCUGCUCAUAUUGCCUCCCUUCCCUAAAAGACAGACAUAGGAAUAGGGUAGUGCCACUUAAAUAGUUCUGAGACCUCCAGAGACACUCACUGUGUUCAAUGUUUUAGAAGCUGCCCAAAACGAUUCAGAGACAGCAUAUGUGCAUCUCUGCUUGAACUGCUCAAGUAAAGGCAGUAUCGGUAAAUACCGUAUCUAGGACCAAACUGUGCACUGUGGCACUUCACAGUGGGGUUUUUUUUCUUACGUAAAGAGCAAGAUACAAAAACAGGUAUAAAGACACUGGAAAUAUACUGACCUGGCGAAAGAAUCACAGGUGACUAAGUCCCUCACUACUUCCAAAACAAGACAGCUGAGCUUGUGAGACUCCUGUCUGGCACUGCUGAGGUUCAAAGGCAUGUCUGUCACCAGACUGAGAAAGUGGCUGCAAAAAACACAACGCUUGUAUUUUGCUGCUGCUUUUCCCAAAGGGAUUGGAUCAAAAAGUUUGCUGAAAUUAA